GAAAGGCGAAACGUAAUGUGAAUCGCAACUAACAGUGAAUCAUUGAAUCUUUGAACGCAGGCCGCAGCUUAUGACAUCACUCUGUGUUGUCGUAAGGUAUCCACGUAUGAGUGUCAGCCCAAUAUCCUUUAUUGGUUCAAGAAGAUGUUCAUUUUUUAAUGAUACAAAACCUUGAAUACAUAUUUUAUGGUAAAACAUAAUUUUUAUGUCUGGCCUCAUAUGUGGAAGAUUACCCGCUGGAUUUAAGC
rnacentral:misc_RNA from 1 species